GAGGCUUUAUCUUAAUUAAAGUAUCUGAGUUGCAUUCAGAAGAUGUGGGAUAAAAUCCUGUGAGUCUUA
rnacentral:tRNA from 1 species